ensembl:lncRNA
GACGAUGACCCAGAAGAGAUCCUUCUAGACCUUGGCUUUGGCUGUGAUGAACCUGACCUCUCUGGACGUAUCCCAGCUCGCUUCAUAAAUUAUCCAUCUCAGGCAAAGGGGAUAAACCUCCAGGUGUUUCUGAAUGCACAAAAAAUACGCCUAGACCUGGAAAAUCCUGACGUGAGCAAUCGUUUUAGACAGCUGGAGGUGAUACAUCAAGUAACAUCCGCAUUGAACUGCUUGGUGGGGUCGUCAUCCUUAUCUAAUGGAAAACAACUACCUCCUGACGCACAGGAGAGGAGGAGGCGAAUGAGCUUGCUGUUUAGAAGAGCAUCACAGAAGUCCUUAAGCCAAAUCAAAAGUCUUAAAUUCCAAGAAGUACAAAGCCCUGUCUCCAGGUCUCCCUGUCCCAUCUCACCGUUAGCAUUGCAGCCCAGUAAAGGUCUAAAACUCGACAGAGUCUCAUCCAAAACAUCCAAACCAGAAUCUCUGGAGAUGAUGCAUCUGGAUCCUUUGAUGGAGGAAAAAGAAGUAGGCGAUGAAAUGCUGGGCAAAAAUGACUCUAUUUUUUCUGUCCAAGAGCAAGCACCAGGAUCUGCUCCUGUAUCUGAAGGCAGGCCCUUUACACCCAGGAGAUUUCCAAAGAGGCAUCUAGGUCAAACUGCUGAGUCAUUUGAAAUGGAAGAGAUCCACAGUUUUGAUGAAGCUGCAGUCAUGGAGACUGGCAAUAGAGGUGCUGAAAAUACAGUGCGAACUCUGAUACGAACAUGCAGCUGCCAGUCAGACAGCAGUGGUUUUUUAGAAGAGCCGUUAAUCCCCUCCAACCCACCACCUGUGUCACAAGGAAGCAAUCUUGUCAAGCAGGCUCUCUACGGUUUGUACGGCUGGACCACCGAGAAUCAUAGCGAUGAACUCCCAGAAGCUUUGUCUUCCCUCAGUUCUUGUGCAUAUACUGGCUUCAACUCCUCUCAUUCAGAGUCUGAAUCACCACUCAACUCAUGCAUCACACAGUCAGAGCUGACUGAAGCAUCUUUGCAGGCAACUGUUUGCUCUGCCUAUGGUGUAAUUCCCCCACUGAUGACCUUCUCUGCCAGUCCCCAUUUCCAAUACCAUAAUUUAGAAUCUUCCUUAAUUUCCAAAUUGGAUUCAAACAAUCCACAACAACACAGUCAGAAAUGCUCAUAUGUGGACUCUAAUGAACAAGAUGUCAUAUCUGACCGACAAACAUAUGUGCCAAAGACAGAGGAAAAGACCUGUUCUUCUCCGUCCCACCACUUAGACAAGGAGAACACAUUCGUUCAGUCUCUUAUUUUCAACUCCAACAACUUAGAAAAGGCGCAACAAUUUCCCUUCUACUUGCAAACCCCUCACACGGAUGAAUUGAUGGAUCCAGCUGUUGGAGGAACUUCAAACUCUACAGAACAUUGCAUCACCAAGGUCCAUGAGACAGUCUUGUUCCAAAAAGAUGGUCAAAGUUCUCUGGAUAAUGACUCUAGACUGGUUGUUUCUCACCAAAAUGCAAAAGGUCAUCUGCACUUGGAGGCCCUUCCAAAUGAAAAGCAUGAGACACAGGGUGAAAGAUGCACUGACGAUGUCCAGCCUCCAGAAAGCAAUAUUGCUUUGAACAAACGUUAUCCAUCAGUCUCUAAUGGGGAGUGUAGCCAAAGAGGAAAGAAUCUCCAUGCCUCAUUCAUUAAUGUAAGUUCAGCUUCAACAGAAACAGAUGAGUAUAUCUUUCCAAUAGAAACCAGUGACACAGAUAUAGCAACUCCUGUAAAUGAUUCAAUAUCGCAUCAAAUAUCAGAGGAACAACUCAUAUCGGCAGUGAAACCAAGAGAUCUCACUGAAAUCGAAAGCUUGGACAUGGUGUUUGAAACCUCUGUAGAUGGUUCAGACAGUGACAAUGAUGACCUACGAGGAUUUUUUCAACAGCUUGAUACAGAGGCCAGAGUCUAUUGGGCUGAGCCUGUGCAGAUUUCCAGUCAAACCCCUGAACCUGAAGAGUCCGCUCCUCCACAAAGAACUGAGGUGGAUUACCUGCCAUCAGGAGAACCAGCUGGUUGUAAUUCCUUCCGAUGUAAAAGCCAAACUUUACCUUUAAAUGUGUCUCACUCUACAAUGAAAAAUCUUGACCUCAACAUGACAAAAGAAACAGCUGUUCCAGAUAUGUCUUUGAAACGUGCAGCAUUUCCACCAUUUGUAGUGCCAGGUACCAAACGAUCAUGUCCAUCUGUAUCCAUUCAGAUGUCUUCCAACUUGUCUUCUCAUAUAGUCCAUAGAAAGGAUGUUCCUUACAUGACUGAAUUCACUCAAACUCAUUCUAUAAGUGCUGUCCCACUGGACAUAUCAAGCCCUUUAAAGGCUGUUCAGUCAUGGUCGGAUCUUCAAAUUCAAAGGAAUAUUCUGUCCAAGAACUCUGCCGGUACCAGUCUAAACAAAAUCUCAGAAACGAUCCUAAAACCAGAGCCGUCGUUAUCUGUGUCAUUCUUUCCAGUGUCUAAUGAAUGGCCAUCACAGGAAACCUUUUCUGAAAACCCUGAUGCUGUCUCAGUGGAUACAGGACUGUGGCCCGAGGAGAUUGGGGAAAUCAGUGAGAUGGAUAAAUUGUUAGAUCUUCAAUUCAAUCUGUAUUCAAAAGACGCUUGCUGCUGUUCCUGUGAUGAUCAAUGUAUCUAUUGUACAAAGAACCGGAAUGUGGGCACCAGCCUGACCAAAUGUCCUGGUUGCACCUAUGAUAAAGAGAAGUGACUCAAGGACGAGCUUUGUGGUACAACUGGUGUAACAGGAGAGGAUUCUGACUUGAAAUAUUUAAGCUGAAUAAACUUGAUAUGGCCUGAGGUGUAUGAUUCUUC